GGUUUUGCAAAAAGAGGCGGCUUGCCACUGACUCACAAACACCACCCACCCACCAAUCCACUCACUGACCUACUCACGCAUACACACACACACACACAAGUCCGACCGUCCGAACCUCCUCCCUCCCUCCCCCCAUCUGCUCUUCUUGCUGCCGCGAAGGGAGAGAGCGGGGGCUGACGCCAUCGUGCGUGCAUUGGGGUGACACGGAUCUGUCUCUCAUUGGCUUGUGCACUUCCUUUUUUGGUUUUAUAGAAAACUUACUCGUCAGCACUGCCGCCGUCCCUCUCCCUCUUCCAAUCAUUCCACGCAAGUAGACGCACCCACACACUUGCACAAGAAUACGCACGAGCACCGGCAAGCAAUAUCCCCGGUAUCCCUCCACCGCUUGUGCAUGAACGUGUGUGUGUGUGGGGCACCUCUCAUCUCUGCUCCCUGUGCUGCCGCCACGGCUCUUCCCGUCUUGCUUUCGUUUUUUCUUUGGUCUUCGCCUCUUUCGCUGUGUGCGCGAGUGUGUUUCUCCCCCCUUCUCGUCACUGCUUCGCUUUUAGAUUGCUCUCUUUCUCUCGCCGUAGGGGGGGGGGCGUGCCCCUCUUGAGUGCGGUGCGCGCGCGCGGUGUUGCCAGAAGUUUCUGCUGCUUUUCAUUUUUUUUGUGUUUGUAUCGAACCUCUGCAUCGCGCGUGUCCGCGCGCUUCGUAAGGAGACUCCGGCACUCACCUCACCGCCUACUCUUCUCCAGAUCGCACACGAGCCAGCAACUCCCCUUUCAUCCGCCCUUAUCCGGUAGUCAACUCCCGUCUGUUUUUCUCCGUCACAGUAGAGAAGGGCGAGCGCGCAGGGCUGCUGAAUGAGCUCCAGCUCCACAGGACCGGCGAGGCUUCUGCUGAACAGCUUCACGGUGGCCGCGACACCACAGACGCUCUCGGUAUCAAACGCGGAGGAUGAGGACCGCUCGGACGGCACGGCACUAACAGACGGGCAAGACGCCGACGCACAGGUUCACGCUAGACCGACGAUAUCAGCAUUCGCAGGCGCCAUCAGCGCGUCAGUGGAAGGGGAGGAGGAGGAGCCGCGUCCGAGCAGUGCAGCCCCGCUGCCGGCACCGGCCCCGCCUCCUUCGUCGCAGCCCGCAUCAUCGCCUUGGGCUGCCUUGGAGUGUCUCUCCUCCCCUAUCGUUAAUACAAGCCCUCACUCGAGGCGGUACUCCUUCUCUUCCCUGCAUUCUCGGCAGCGGGUGUGGGGAGCCCCAAUGGGAAGCCGUGCCUACAAUGUGGGCCGCACCGGCGACGACCUCCGUGGCAUCCCGGCGACACCGUUUCGAUGGCGCUCUUCGCUUCCCCACGCAGCAGGAACUUCUCUGCUGAAGCCUGGUCAACAUGACUUCCGUCAUGCUACGACAACCACGGCCACACUGCACCCCGAGAGAAACCGCCGUCAUGUCAGCGAGCAGCUCGGGCGCUCCCCCACGGGGGCCUUCACACCCCACAUCCGCUACCGGACCUCGAGUGGCGGGUCCCCUGGCGCUCGGGCCGCCUCCGGCGGGUUGUCCACGUCAGAUGCGAACGCGUCUGUCAACUGCGACGGUGAGAGCCGCCAUCGUCAUGUGAGUCCCGUGUGCCACGCACCUGCAGAGUCGGCGCCGCACGCCUCUAUCCCUUCGGCACACGCUGCCGCUCCGUUUCUACGGCCGCCGGCGCCUGCGUGGUCCUUCCUCCUGCACCCCCACGAUAACGCACAAGGCGCAUCCUUCCUGCCGCCACCGCCGUUGCUGGCCACGACGCACCAAGGCGGCGCCGCCGUCUCUACUAUGUCUUCUGGCUGUGGCGCCGCAACGCGCUCCGCCCGUGUUGUGACCCUCUGCGCCCCUGCGGAGACGACGGCACAGGAGGAUGGCAGUGCGGCAAGGCGGAUGCGAAGAUGCGUGAGUUUGCCUGUGAGCAGCGCACCAUCUGCUGCCUUAGCUGCAACCCCCUCCAUCAGCGAUGUGUGGGUGCAGCAAGAGCGGCGGAACCAAGCGCUGCGACGAGGUCACUGCGAACCCGCUGAGGAGGCGGAGGCCGCCGCCGACAUGACUCGCGGCAGCUCCCACGCAUCCGUCAACCACGCAGGGGCUGUGAAGAACGGUGGGGGGGAUAGCGUUACUGAGCCCGUUGCGAUCGGACACCUCACCCUGCGCUCGCUCACGGAGGAGUACAAUCGCUUCUCCACGGAGGGCACCGUCGGCUGGAUUGGACUGCAGGUGCACCUACGCCGCCACACGCAGACUAACCAGAUCUUUGCCCUGGACCUGACGUGCUGCCACAUGCGUCGCGAUCAAUGGACGUGGUUUUCCCAGGACAUCCUGCCGCAGCUCCGCGCGCUGGAGGUGCUGCGCCUUGUCCAGAUGCACUUGGAGGACGACGAGGUGGCGGAGCUGGUGCGUGGCAGCUGUGGGCUGUCCGCCGCAGCCGACGGCCGCCGCAGCGCGGGUCGAAGCUGGCAGCAAAGCUCUUUGUCAGCAAGUCGCCACAAGGUGGAUAGCGGCCGAGGCGGCCGUGGCAGCGGUGACCCCGCCGUGCAGUCGGCCCCACUCGCACACCUGCGUGUGCUGGACCUCAGCGGCAACGCCUUCACUCAACGCAGCUGCACGCAUCUGGGCAAGAUGAUGCUGUGGAUGGCGGGAACUCUCGAGGAGGUGCGCCUGCUGGGGAACCCGCUGAAGGACUACGGCAUGCAGACGCUCUCCGUCUAUGUGGCGAAGCUGAAUCUGGAGGCACUCGAGCAGGACCCAUCCCUGUUCCCCGCUGCACUGCGCGAUUGCUGCGCGCAAGUAAUCCAGAAGUGUGGACGCGGGCAUGCGAGGAGGAGCCGGAAGGUAGGCUCAGCACCACCGUCUCCGCAGCCGGCCGCCGCUGCCGGCGUCAUGCACGCUGGAUAUAGCGAGGGCGAGAGCAGAGGCGAUGCACACGGUUUGGUCGCGGCGCUGCCCCUUGGACCUGUGCUGCUCGACCUGCGCGAUUGCCGUGCCUCGGCACGCGGCCUGUCCGACAUACUUGCCGCCGCCAGUCGUGCGCACCGUCUGCGCACCCUGGUGCUCUCGCACAACGUCGCUGGUGUGACGUCGCUACUGCCGCUGCCGGCAAGCGCGCACCACGAGGCAGCCAACCUUGCCAAAGAGGAAGCUAUGGAGUCCGAGGAGAGGGAGGCGCGUGCGAGAAGCGGUGAUGGCCGCGGCCCCCUACCCCGACUCCGGCCGUUACCGUGCCGGCUGAGGCUGGCCAAGACGCCGCUCGUCUACUCCGGCGCCCUCAUGCGGGGCCAGCACACCGCCCUCAGCGACGUGGCCGGAUUCGCCACAUCGUGCGCUCUCUCCACACUCGUCCUUUAUGGUGUCCCGCUUAGCCAGACCUGCUCGCCUCUGGGAUUCCGCGAGUUGCUGCUGAACAUCUUCUUCAGCUGUCCGCUGCUCGACCUAGUCGAUCUCUCCGAUACGUUCGAGUGGUCUUUGGUGCCCCCAGAGGCACAGAAGGCGCUCUUGGCCGAGGCGAAUUGCAGGGACGCGGUGGAGCAGCGUUUGCGCAGCCCCGAAGCCCAGCGAGGACUUCAUGUGCACCGCGAGGACCAAGGCGAGGUCGAGUUUAGGCUUGACAGUGCGACCGUUAGUAACCAGACACGGCUUGGCGACAUGUUUGGCGAGCUGAUGGCACACGUGGCCUUCAACGCGGUGGUGCGGCGCCGUCUCCCACCGGCUGCUUUUCUUCACGUACGUGAGUUGCACUUGAGCAACACCGGUCUGACGGACGCCGGCGCGCGUGGUCUAUGCGUGAGCGUGCGGCGCGGACGGUCGCAGACGGGCAUGCUGGCAUCUUUGGCGGUGCUGAACCUGUCUGACAACCUGCUCACCGUGCGCGGGUGCGUGCGGGUAAUCUCAGCCUUUCUCUUGGAUGGCGACGCUGAGGUUGAUGUAGAUGCGACGCGGAGCUGCCUAGCGUCGCUUGCCACCACGUCCACUGCUGCUAGGCCUGCUGUGAUCGCUCGCUUAACCGCCUUGGCGCUGCAGCGCAACUCUGGCUUUGUAAGCGCCAGAGGUGAUGGCACUGCCGGCGGCGUCAAUGGCGCCAGUGACGAUGGCGCGGGGCAUCUGCAGCAGGUGUGCACGGCCGCCGAAACGGCGGUGCUGCGGCGCGCCACAUUGCGGUCUGCCGUGUGCUCCAAUCAGGUUCACGGGAACAGCAGCAGCGGUGCGGCGAAUGCAGGUGAUGCGACUCAGGAAGAGCGGGCGCCACCCUUGACGGUGUACUUUAGCGCGCCUCCCUCGGUGGAAGCGACAUCGUCCAUCAGCAGCAGCGGCGCCGGCGGCCAGCGUCGACCAUCGGCUUUCUUAGCUUCAACGGCGAGCGUGGACGUUUUUUAUGCUGGCUGCGAUGAUCAAGGCGAUGUGUAUUGCACGUGUCCGUGCAGUCGUUUCUAUGUGCCCAAGCCUGCAUCUGCCCAGGCUGUGGAGAAGGAAGACACCAACACCAGAGGUCUGUCCUGCUUUGCGCAGCAGAAGCCGUGCUCAUCAACCGAAGUUUCACGUGCUCUGGCCGGCACGGCGACUGCACACGGAGAUCAAACAGCCUCAGCGUUGGCAGUGUCGGAGAUGACCCGCGGCGGCUGCGGCGCUCUCGGCACUGAUGCCACUCCUACUGCUGGCAAGAAGCAGCAACACCGCGCACAGGACGGUCCUCAGCGCAACCUUUUCGCAGCACUGGGUGCGCCGCGCGAUGCCGUCGCUGCUGCCGGCACCGGGGCAGGUGGCGAGAGCCCCAACGGACUGGUCAACACGACCCCGCUUCACCAUCUACGGAACUUUACAAACGACGUCGAAGCUGGUGCCGCCGUCUCCGCCGCUUCAGUCUCCUCCUCGUCCUUUCCUUUGCCACCGCCGCCGUCCGACUCAGUGUCUGUGAUGGUGGCAGCGCGACACACCUCAGACUUGGCUACCGCUGGCGUCGGUCCCCGCUUCCUGCAGCCGCAGCAACAACAGCAGACGACCCUGCUGCCGCGUCGCGAGAGCGGCCUCUCGGUGCCUGGUGGGUCGAAUUUUGGUGCGCUCUUUAUGAGCAAGGCAGAGAAAACCCCACCUAUAACCUUGGGAGCGCCGGCCGGCGCUGUCCUUGCCGACGCAGCGGCUGUGGUACCUGUGGUCGCGGACGUAGACGUGGGCGUGGACGUCAGCGACGCGCUUGUGUCGACCACCGCCAAUGCAAGGCGCUUGGGUGGCCGACGUGCGAGACUGCGGCGAACUCGCACCUUCGUGCUCUCCUAUGACCACCCAGCUGGACAUCUGCUCUGUCGUGCUUUGGGUGUUCUGCUGCGACCAUCGCCAGACCCUCUCGGCGAGGGAGCCCGUGCUGCACUCGAGCAGGACCUGCUAGCUGCACUGAAGCGCGCAUCGGCAGCCUCUAAAACGCGCUCGACCUCUGCGCAGGGCGGCGACGAGGGUGGUGGUGACGGCGGUGGGGCAGGCAAGGCCGCGAGCGCCACCACCACGGCGGAGUCGGUUCGCUACCUUCCUCCUGGUCCGCCCUCGGCGACCGUGGCGGAUGGCGGCGACUCGAGCCAGCUGGGGGCAGAUGUGCACUGGAUGCGCUUCGAGGUGACGACAGGCGAGCGGAAAGGGGACAUGGCGCAGCUGCUACAGGAGGUGCUGAACGUGCCGCUGCCUGAGCAGCGUGUGCUCUUCGAGCGACUCCUGCAGUUCCUUACGCAGCACGUCACGUGUGGUGAGGACUCACACGGGACGCCGACAGCGGAGGACUUGUGGGAUCCGGUGCGUGCGAUCGAGCAAGCUGCGCGGUCAUCCGCGGCGGUGCGGGCAAGGCUCGAGAUCGCCUACGGCGGAGUUGCUGAGACUGCAGUGCACGCGCGCCAUCAGUACCACGGCGCUGCCGAUGCGACACUCGUCCCAAUCAAUGAUGCCGGUGGUGGUGCUGCUGCGGCAGCGGCUGGCGCACUGGACGACGCCGAUGGCACAGAGGGUAUCGUGCGCCUCGACCGCCUCUACUUCGCCUUGUGGAGAGAGCUGGGAAUGCCAGUCGGCGACACAGCGCGGGAUGCACUGCCGCAUGCGCCUUCCUCUGUCUGCAUCAAGGAAAGAGGAGCGGAGACGCCGGCCGGCAGCGAUGGACGACCUGACUUGCUUGACAGAGCAGCUGACGGCGGCGGUCUUUACACCUCUUUCUCCACCCCGCACGACGUCCUGUCAUGUCGAUCUUCGGAGGCCGCCGUGGCACUGUCACCGCAGCCGUCCGCCGCGACGCAUCCGCCGCGACCUCAUGCCGUCAACUUUUACGACGGAGUGGGCGGCGAGCCGAAGCCAAGGCAGCGGCAGAGCCUACCAGCAACCGUGCACCAAGGGCAAUGCGCCGGCGCCUUCGCACCUGCCGCCGCUGCCGGCGGCGAUCAAGGCGGCGCGAAGUGGACGACGAGCAGGCGCGAGGGAGCGGAGAGGGAAGAGGGCGACGAGGGGGCGUCGGUAGACUCGACGAGUGUGACCACGCCUGAGAAACAGCUCAACCACACCCACUGCAUCGAACUCGGUAGCGCCGCUGCGGCGCUCUCGCCAUCGCCAUUGGCGCUGGCCAAUUCAAAUGCGGAGGUGCCGCAGCCAGACUCCCCGUCUGUGGAAGUGGUGCUCGCGGACAAGCUCAUGAGACUGUCGCCGCCAGCGAAGACGCGCGAUGCGGCCGGUGCUGCCGUGGCACCGCCGCUCGCUCCGCAGCUGCACGUCUCCCGUGCUUCUCUUACGGCUGCAGAGGACGACGAGAAGGGGCAGCAGCACGUGGACGACUUCAAUGCUGAAAGGAAUGCGCUCCGUGCCGUGACGUCUCGGCUGCUCAUUGACAAGCGCAGCGACGAGGAGCGAAGCGGCAGUAGCGGCAGAGCUGGAAGCCCAGCGAGGAGCGGCGGCACCCUGUUGUCCCAGCCACAGCAGAAACAGUCGGAGGGGUGCCAGCAAACUCAGCCCGAGCUGGUUCACGCUGGCGCCACGGGCGUGCAAGCAGAGGAAGCGGAAGGCGAGGAAGACGUCGCCAUCGUGUCUCCGAUCCGAGUGCAGCGCCGCUCCAGCCAGCUGAUCGGCCGAGUCAAGACCUUCACGCUUUCCUACACGCACCAGGAGGGGACGGCGGUGUGCCGCGCGUGGCGGCUGCUCCACACCGCCACGCACGUAUGCCGAAGCGGCAGCACCAACUCUAACAACGGCACGAGUGUCGCACCGGCAGAUGCCGUGGCGCCAAUCGCGCCGUCUUCCCCGCCGUCUCUUGCAGCUCUGGCGAAGGAGGCUCAAAGGUGUCUGUGUGACGACUUCCUAGCGUUCCUGCAGCCACCCGACGAGGACGCUGAGCAUGCCGUGCUGUCUGUGUCGCUGCACUGUGACAGCGGCGUGGCAACAGCAAUGCUUCAGGUGCAGGUGCAGACGAACGAGCGCCGCGCCGUUCUGGCGGACCGGCUGCAGCACAGCAACCAUGGCGUCCGCCGCAGUGUCGGACGCGGCAGCCGCAGCGGGUUGGUGCCGCUCAGUGUGCAGGAGGUGGACCAGUUCUACUUUCCGCGUUUGACACGUCUGCUUCGCCAGUACAAGACCGUCGCUGACACGGCGGCGCAAGUGCAGGCCUUCUUGCAGCCGCGCGCGGCGGUGCAGGCUCGGCUUCUGCAGAGCCACGGAAGCGUCGCGGCGCUUGUGCACUACUAUCAUGGUAGCCAGGCUGCGCUGGAACACGAGCUGGGGAUCUCGUCCUGGCAGGUGCUCAUGGACCCGGCCCUGCCGAGCACCGCCAGAGCGGAACAGCUGAAGGAGGAGGUCAUGUCCCCAACAGUGGCGGUGGACCGAGUGCUGAGACGCGAGAGGGCCGGGGUGGAGAGCAAUCAAGGCGGCAGCGCGCCGCGAGUGUGCAGCGGCGACACCGGUGAAGACGCGCCGGGCACCUCCUUUCCUCAAGGAGCAAACGCGGCCCCCAGCUCACCACCACAGCCGACUGCGGCAGGCACACGGCAGCCGUCUUGCCCCACCUCAGCCGAUGGCAGUGUUACUGGUGCCACCAACCUGCAGGGCCGUCCGCCAACUCGUCCGCGCCGUCCGCCUACGCCGCCACACGCCAUCACGCACACCAGCAGUAUCUCGUUCGAUGAGGUGACAGAGGAGCCGACGAGCGAGGCGGGUCCCGUUGUGGUGCUGCGGGGCACGGCGCCGGCCCCAGCCCCACGCUCGCCCUCGAGCCCGCAGUCUCUCAACCCACAGUACUUCCCUGCCAUGUACCGGCAGGUGGUCUCCACGACGCUGCCGUCGCGCGCCGGCGUUGAGGACGUGCCGGAGCGAAGCGCUCUGAACGAGCCAGGCGGUCCGCCGGACGGGGGCUCCGACACUGGCCUGGUGUCGCCCCUGACGGCCGUGUCCAGCGCAGCCGGGUCACCGACCUCGAAACACCUAGGCUUGGCUCUCGAGCAGCCGGCGCCGACAGUGGCGGUCGCCGCAUCGGAGAAUUCGCUCUCUCCUCUGCCCGUGCCACGCGUUGUGCGUCAGCUCGCUGACUGCACGGACUCGGUGGCGGCACCGGCUGCGAAGAAGGGAGGCGGCGACAUGCUGCUCAGCCGCAGCGAUGCCAGCGGUAACCCGAGCGCCACAGCCGUAACCGCGUCGUCGUCUUCAUCGUUAGUAAUGCCGACGUCGAAGACGAGGCCCGUUGGCGGCACUAACGCAGCUGUUUCGCCGGUGCCACUGCCUCGGCUGCCGGUAGAGCGCGAUAACUCCAACACUGCUGGCCACAGCAACGCCUCUUCGCGGUCACUGGAACCGAGCCAUCAUCAGCCUGGUGCCGCGGCUGGCGCCGGCAGCUCUAGUUCCGUCGCCGGUUCGGACCGAUGCAAGUCAGAGUAUGAGCGCGUGCUGGAGGGCAAGUACAAGCGUCUAAUGCGAGUCGCCUACGACGGGGUGGCCCGCGGUAGUGUCCCGCUAGACCCGCAGCAUCAGCAGAAGACCGUCAUUGGCCGUGGCAAGUGGGGCACACAGAAGGUGGAGCUAUCGCUGGAGUGGGAGAUCUUGUUUGUGCUGACGUUUGAGAAGAGUCGCAAGCUUGGCCGCAGCUCACGGCGAGCGCAGAUGCUGGUGCAUCCGGUAGGCUGCGGCUUCGAGUGCGCGGCGGGCGAUGAUCUAAUUCACACGGCCUCCAGCGGCAUCUACGGCGGUGAAAACUCCUCCCUGCACUCGUCCGCCAUCAACGGCGAGUCGGGCGACGGCGGACAUCACCUGCCAGCGACGGCAAUGCCGAAAAUACCGCGUAAGAGGGAGUCGUCCAAGUCGUCUGCGUCGCACCUUGUCAUCACGAUUCAGCGGCCGUUCACUCCGGACGAGGUUGGCUCCUCUUCGCAUGACAUGGAGGAGACACUGAUGGCUGGUGCGCUGCUCACCGUCUCGUCGUCCUCGAAGGCGGCGUGGCUGCUCGUUGGUGGAAACGACGAGACUAGUACCACAUCUCGAGCGAGCGCCGGCGUCAACCAGGUGGCACACGAGUACGUGUUUCAGCUCUGCCAAGCCUCUCUCACACUGGACAUUGAAAUGAAGAGCUCCAAGCACGUGCAGGAGGCGCUCCGCUUGUUGAAAAACAGCAUCCGACGCGCUACACAAGCCGUGAAGAAGUCGAUGCUGAACGCGCACAUACCGCCACCGUCGCGCUAGACGCGUGAUGCUGCAUGGCUUCUACUCUCGGGUGCGGGGAGGGAGAGGGCGCUAUCGUGACGCUCAGGGCCACUUCUUAGCAUGAGCGGUGCGCGCAUGGCAGCAAAGGCUCCGGCGCAAGGUGCGCUACUGUGAUUCCGUUGAUUCGGGUGUUACUCUUUCGGGCUCGGUGACGAGGGCUGCUCUUGUUUGCUGUUGUGCUUGUGUGUGCUCUCUCCUUCCUCUUCAUAUGUGCUGGACGCGGCGGCAUCUCGUGGUCUCUGGCUUCUCCUCCGCCCCCAUCCUCAUCCUCUGGGUUUGCGUGCUCGCCGCUGUCGUCACGUGCGCUCUUCUGUGGAUCGCAUUUUCUUUUUUCGUGUUGCGUGCUUUGCCCUUCUUUUCCGUCUUGGAUUGUGUGCGCGUCUGUGUGGCGCUCCUG
rnacentral:misc_RNA from 1 species